GACGAAUGCUGGCUGCGUGCUUAACACAUGCAAGUCGAACGGUGAAAGGGAGCUUGCUCCCUGGAUCAGUGGCGAACGGGUGAGUAACACGUGGGCAACCUGCCCCCCACUAUGGGAUAACUCCGGGAAACCGGGGCUAAUACCGGAUACGACCUGGUGCGACAUCGCCCCGGGUGGAAAGAACUUCGGGGGGGGAUGGGCCGGCGGCCUAUCAGCUUGUUGGUGGGGUAACGGCCCACCAAGGCGACGACGGGUAGCCGGCCUGAGAGGGCGACCGGCCACACUGGGACUGAGACACGGCCCAGACUCCUACGGGAGGCAGCAGUGGGGAAUAUUGCGCAAUGGGCGAAAGCCUGACGCAGCGACGCAGCGUGAGGGAAGAAGGCCUUCGGGUUGUAAACCUCUUUCAGCGGAGACGAAGCGAAAGUGACGGUACCCGCAGAAGAAGCACCGGCUAACUACGUGCCAGCAGCCGCGGUAAAAC
rnacentral:rRNA from 1 species